UUUUAAUGAUUGUUUAUUUUUUUUCUUUAAAAGUUUUAUUCUUGCUUUUUUAUUUACUUUAUCUUUAUAUUAUAUACUAGUUUUGGAUACUAAAUGUUUCGUAAUGUAGUAAUUUAAUUUAAUACAUCAAGUUAUUUUGGAGUUAGUAAUUGAUUAAAUAUUGGCUUAUUUUGUGCCAGCAGCCGCGGUUAUACAAUUAAUAUAAGUAAAUAUUUUUGGUUAGCAGUAAAUUUAUUUUUAGGAUUUUUUAUUUGAUUAAUUAGGUGAAAUUAUUAUUUUAUUUUAUGUUCUUUAUUUGAUUCUGUGAAAAUUUAAUUAUUAAACUAGGAUUAGAUACCCUAUUAUUUUAAUUGUAAAUAUUUUAUGCCAGGGUAGUAAUAGUUAAUUUCUUAAAACCCAAAGAAUUUGGCGGUAUUUUAUUCCAUUCAGAGGAACCUACCCCUUAAUUGAUAAUACACGAUUUGAAAUACUUAAUUUUUGUUUGUAUAUCUCCGUUAUCAGGAAAUUUUUUUAGAAUUAUAUAAUUUUCAGGAUUCUUUAUUAAGAUAAAUUUCAGGUCAAGGUGCAGCUAAUAAUUAAGUGGAGGCGGGUUACAAUAAUUUUUGAUUAUUAUGGUUUUGUUUGUGUAAACUUAUAAUUAAAUUGGAUUUGAUGGUAAUUUUUUUUUACUUUAUUAUUUUGAUUAAUGGUUCUAAAAUAUGUACACAUCGCCCGUCGCUCUCAUUUUAUUUUAAUGUAUUGAUUCAAUUGAGAUAAGUCGUAACAUAGUAGGUGUACUGGAAAGUGUACCUAGAAAGAUU
rnacentral:ncRNA from 1 species